GGCCCCGUAGCUCAGCUGGAUAGAGCAACUGCCUUCUAAGCAGUAGGUCGCAGGUUCGAGCCCUGCCGGGGUCGCCA
rnacentral:tRNA from 3 species